rnacentral:rRNA from 1 species
UGGGGAAUAUUGGACAAUGGGGGCAACCCUGAUCCAGCCAUGCCGCGUGAGUGAUGGAGGCCUUCGGGUUGUAAAGCUCUUUUGGCGGGGACGAUGAUGACGGUACCCGCAGAAUAAGCCCCGGCUAACUUCGUGCCAGCAGCCGCGGUAAGACGAAGGGGGCUAGCGUUGUUCGGAAUUACUGGGCGUAAAGCGAGUGUAGGCGGUUGCCGUAGUCAGGUGUGAAAGCCUUGAGCUCAACUCAAGAAAUGCACUUGAUACUGGGUGACUAGAGGACCGGAGAGGAUAGUGGAAUUCCCAGUGUAGUGGUGAAAUACGCAGAGAUUGGGAAGAACACCAGUGGCGAAGGCGGCUAUCUGGACGGUUACUGACGCUAAGACUCGAAAGCGUGGGGAGCAAACAGGAUUAGAUACCCUGGUAGUCCACGCCGUAAACGAUGGGUGCUAGACGUUGGCGAGCUUGCUCGUCAGUGUCGCAGCUAACGCGUUAAGCACCCCCGCCUGGGGGAGUACGGCCGCAAGGUUGAAACUUAAAUGAAUUGAC